rnacentral:lncRNA from 8 species
GAUGAUAGUUAUGUGUUGCCUCUGAACUGGAGAGGGACCCCCGUGAAGAUGUCCUGCCUAGUGUCCCAGGCUCAGGCCCUGGCCCCCUCCUCCCUCUGCUGCUCGUCUCAGGGAAUGACUGUCAGACUGCAAGUUCAUGGAGCCAAAGAGGAGCUCCGAGUCCAGGUUAGAGGAAAAUGGACACCACUGCUUUCGCUGGCCCUGCAGUGUGGCUACAGUAUGGACAGGCAACAUGGAGAGCUGCUCAUAUCUGCACCCUUCACUACCUGUGGGAUCACAUCAAAGGAUGGAAAAUACACUCUCUCUCUUCAAAUAGGAGAGAAAGCCAUCACAUUGGCCUGUCCUUCUUCUCUGCCAGACCAAGUAAUACAACCCCUCCGACCUGCAGUAGAUGUCCCCCAUUAUGCAACUAUGGGCCCAACAAACUCAGUUUCCACAACCCUGCUGUCUAAUCCUUCUUCCAUAACCCUAUCUUACCCGGUGCGUCACCCAUCCUUCCCAUUCAAUCCCCUGCCCACAUUGCCCCCUGAUCAGCCUCUCAGCCCUGGUAUCCAUGUUACUUCUCCCUUGACUACAGGCCCCUCUGUCCAUCCUCCCCUGGCUCAGCGUCUUCAGGGCUACCCAUUCUAUCAGUAUUAUUACCUCCACACGAUGCCCCUCAGUGAGUCAUACCAGUCACCCCUCUCCUCUAGUCCCCCCUCUCAACUCCCAACUACAAUAACCCCCAUUUUACUCAGUAUUCUUCCACUACAGCUGGUCAUCCAGUUCACUCUGAAGCCCCCACUCUCCGAACCCCUGAGUAUACUCUCCACCCAUACUACCACAACUACCAUCACCCCAAAAUCCCUAUGCUUGAGCUACCUCAAGGGCCCAGUCCUGGUGCCAAGACGGGUACUUCCACCAAUGGUCCUCAGGUUGAACCACCUGCCCCUCACACCCCUAACCCGAUCUUCCCGGUGUUUCCACACUACUACCUCGACCACCCCAAAGUGCCUCCCUAUAACCCACCCCAACGCCCUCAGCCUGAUAAGCCCUUCCUCUCACUCCUCUACUCUCCCUGUUAGCAGUUCACAAUCUAGAAAAAAGAAACGCACACCUAUAAAGGCGAGGUGCUGGCUAGCGGAGUAGAACACUAGAAAAUAAAGGAAAGCCGCACACUAAGAGCUCAGAUGCAAAAAUGUAAUAACCAACGUUUCGACAGCAAAGCUGUCUUCAUCAGGGUAUCAUCACAAACACUGCAAGAUGAGUCAUUUAUAUAGUGUCAAGAGACACACAGGUGUUUGUAAUCAUGGCCAAGUAUGGCCUAAUAUCAUUGGUUAACUCAAAUAUUUAAAAAAAAAAUGGCAUACAAAGAACAUACAGAAAGACAAACAAAUGAAUAGCAUACGAUCAUAGCAUUUGUAGUCUAAAAUGUAUCUAACAAACAAUUACAAUGGCAAAAUCACAAUUAUCACAAGAAUGGCUUCAGAUCAAAGUCUAUGUUGAGACCGAAGGGAGCAAGGGUCUUUAAAUUAAAGAUCCAGGCAGCCUCUCGUUUUAACAAUAAAUUAUCAAGUUCACCCCCUCUCCUCGGGAGGGUGACAUGUUCGAUGCCAAUAUAACGCAGAGACGAAAUCGGAUGGUUUGCUUCCAAAAAGUGGGCCGCAACUGGGUAAGUUAAGUUUUUGCACCUAAUGGUGCUACGAUGCUCUGUACUUUUAAUUCACGCUUUGUUUUACCCACAUCAUUUUUACCACAAGGACAAGUUAUAAGAUAAAUAACUGCCUUAGUGGAACACGUAAUAACACCUUUAAUUGGGAUAGAUUUCUCUGUUUGGGGGUGUUUAAAGGAUCUACAUUUAUAAGUGCCAUUGCAUUGAGCACAGCCAUUACACUUGUAAUUUCCAUCCAGUAUGGGCGCAAAGAGACGUUGUUCAGGAAUAUCUUGGGGUGGUAAAUCAGAGUGUACCAAUUGGUCUCUGAGAUUUCUUCCCCGCGAGAAUACGACCAGGGGAAGAUCAGAAAACACAUUAACGAGACUAUCAUCAUAUUUCAGAAUGUGCCAAUGUUUGUGAACGAUUCCUUUAAUUUGUUCAGAGCACUUUGAAUAGCGGGUAGUGAGAACGCAAGAAUGCGUCUUUUUGCGAGACUGACCUUGAAAAAGGUCAUGUCUCGUUUUGUUUUGAAUUUUCUCAAUGGCAAUAUUAAUCUGAUCAUUGUUGAACCCCCUCUCCUUGAACUUAUCCUGAGUCUCAGCCAUAUUUCUGUCGAAAUCUGAUUGUUUAAUACAAAUUCUUUUGAUUCGACAGAAUUGGCUGUAGGGCAAACUAUUUUUCAAGGGAAGUGGGUGACAACUAUCAGCCCUCAACAAACUGUUACGAUCAGUAGGUUUCCUGUAAAGAUCAGUGUAUAAAACAUUAUCUUCACACAAGAUCAGAAGAUCAUGAAAACUGAUUUGACGUGUAUCAGAUUGCAUAGUAAAUCUCAAAUGUUCAGAACAGGAGUUAAGAAAAGCAUAAAACGCCUGGAGCAGUUCUGCAUCACCCCUCCAUAGAAGAAAAAUAUCGUCAAUAUACCGUUUCCAAAUAAUGAUGUUAGGCAAGAAAACAUUUUUGAGAGGGUUGAAAAUGGAGUUCACAAACACACCGUAGAACUCCUGUUCCUCAUGUGCCUCACCCUCCACCCUAUCCUCACUACUACACCCCACAAACACCCAGUGGUGAAGUCAAGAGAUCCCAUCACCCUGAUGACCCUUUUAUUCAUCUUCAACCUUUGAAACCUAACUCAUCUCCCACCUUAACAGAGAUCCCAUUCUACCAAUACACUCUUCAUUUUCCUUACAAGCCUCCACCGAUCCAGAAACACAGAAUUGGUCUCCAGACCAACAAUCCCUCUAGACCCAUGGACGAACAACCUCCAGUUGUCCCAUCUCCCCCUGCGUUGUCUCCUGAUCAAAGUGGAAAGUCACACCCUCAUGGUCACCUGAAAUGGCCUCCACAACUACAACCCUACAAUUCACACACAGCCAAGAGCCUGUCUACUAGUUCUACCUCUGUUGCCCAUGCUGCAACCCAACCUCUUCUCUUUCCAAACUUCCCCCCGUUGUACUACCCUCAUCUCAAAUCACCCAUCAGCAACCCAGUGAUCCCAGUACACAUGCCGAAAAGACAUCAGGGGCUCAAGCUCCCCUAGAUUCUGACCAUCAUAGAAGAGGAAGAUUUGCCCACACUCUUGUGGCGAGUCUAACCCAUGCACCCUGUCCUACCACCAACCCCAUUCAUAACCCCUCACACCAUCACAUCAUUCAUCCACAACCUUCAACCAUUCCUUCCCCUCAUCAUCCCAACCCAGGGCCCCCUGGAGAUCUGCCAGACACAGUGAUGAAAGGUAAGUCUUCAUCUUGAAUAUUUCUACUGUGUGUGAACUGCACCACUAUUGAAAGGCUGUGGUUGUCUCAUAUCAGUGCAUGCACUAUAAAGAGCCACAAGAGGGCACCUCACCUCUACUAGGUGAUCCUGGAGACAACAGUGUAAUUGGUUUCACUUCCGUAUCAAAUAUCCACUUCUUUCUUAUGUAGAAGUUCAUAAACCUGGUUUGUCACACCAGUACCGUUUCCUUUUCCUCCAUACAGACCCUGGUUUAAAGGCCGAUACACAAACACCCUGUGGCUUGUCCGACUAUGACUGUGACGGCUCCUUAGGUUGCUGCUCUUACCUUGUGAAUGGUUAGUCUCGAUCUCAAGCUACUGGUCUUGGUGUUGCUAUGUGGCUGUUUGGUGUUUCGCCGACAUCAAAACACUUCCCAGGGGAAGAUCUGAGAUCGGAGGAGUGGAAGUGGUCUUCCAGUGUGUCCAAGGCCAUGUGCACAUGCUUGGUAUUUCGGGAAUGUCAGUUUUCGAACUGCUUUGCUACUCAUUAGUUUACACAAUGCGCCAAUUUGUGUCUUAGGUCCUCAGGCUGUGUGUGUGUGUCAACCCUCAGUGUACAUCGGGGCCUCAAUUUGUCUUUGCGGUCCCUGGUUCUCUGGUGGACCCCACGGUCACCCUUCCCCCUCUGCCUGCGGACAGCCAUGUGUCCUGCACCCCCCAGAGGAUGACCUCUGACCUGUACAGUGUACCCCUGGAUGGCUGUGGAGUGCACAGAUUCGUAUGUUACUGUACUGCUACUCCACAUCCUUAUAAAACUGUUCAACAUAUUACUUGUGUAUGAUUAUUUUGUAUGUUAUAGUUUGAUGCUCAUGUCUGUUUGGUUAGGAGGAUGGUCAGGCCAUGGUCCACUUGUUGGAGUUCAACGCUCUACUUUCCACACAACAUAAACACAGCACCACAUCCUGAAGACUCACCUGUCCGGUAAAGCCAUUUUACUACAAGAACAAAUGGUUCACUCGAUCCCUCCGAUGUCAACAACUACAGACCAGUAUCCCUUCUUUCUUUUCUCUCCAAAACUCUUGAACGUGCCGUCCUUGGCCAGCUCUCCUGCUAUCUCUCUCAGAAUGACCUUCUUGAUCCUCAUCAGUCAGGUUUCAAGACUGGGCAUUCAACUGAGACUGCUCUUCUCUGUGUCACGGAGGCUCUCCGCACUGCUAAAGCUAACUCUCUCUCCUCUGCUCUCAUCCUUCUAGACCUAUCUGCUGCCUUUGAUACUGUGAACCAUCAGAUCCUCCUCUCCACCCUCUCCGAGUUGGGCAUCUCCGGCGCGGCCCACGCUUGGAUUGCAUCCUACCUGACAGGUCGCUCCUACCAGGUGGCGUGGCGAGAAUCUGUCUCCGCACCAUGCGCUCUCACCACUGGUGUCCCCCAGGGCUCUGUUCUAGGCCCUCUCCUAUUCUCGCUAUACACCAAGUCACUUGGCUCUGUCAUAUCCUCACAUGGUCUCUCCUAUCAUUGCUAUGCAGACGACACACAAUUAAUCUUCUCCUUUCCCCCUUCUGAUAACCAGGCGGCGAAUCGCAUCUCUGCAUGUCUGUCAGACAUAUCAGUGUGGAUGACGGAUCACCAGCUCAAGCUGAACCUCGGCAAGACGGAGCUGCUCUUCCUCCCGGGGAAGGACUGCCCCUUCCAUGAUCUCGCCAUCACGGUUGACAACUCCCUUGUGUCCUCCUCCCAGAGUGCUAAGAACCUUGGCGUGAUCCUGGACAACACCCUGUCGUUCUCCACUAACAUCAAGGCGGUGACCCGAUCCUGUAGGUUCAUGCUCUACAACAUUCGCAGAGUACGACCCUGCCUCACACAGGAAGCGGCGCAGGUCCUAAUCCAGGCACUUGUCAUCUCCCGUCUGGAUUACUGCAACUCGCUGUUGGCUGGGCUCCCUGCCUGUGCCAUUAAACCCCUACAACUCAUCCAGAACGCCGCAGCCCGUCUGGUGUUCAACCUUCCCAAGUUCUCUCACGUCACCCCGCUCCUCCGCUCUCUCCACUGGCUUCCAGUUGAAGCUCGCAUCCGCUACAAGACCAUGGUGAUUGCCUACGGAGCUGUGAAGGGAACGGCACCUCCAUACCUUCAGGCUCUGAUCAGGCCCUACACCCAAACAAGGGCACUGCGUUCAUCCACCACUGGCCUGCUGGCCCCACUACCUCUGAGGAAGCACAGUUCCCGCUCAGCCCAGUCAAAACUGUUCGCUGCUCUGGCACCCCAAUGGUGGAACAAGCUCCCUCACGACGCCAGGACAGCGGAGUCAAUCACCACCUUCCGGAGACACCUGAAACCCCACCUCUUUAAGGAAUACCUAGGAUAGGAUAAAGUAAUCCUUCUAACCCCCCCCCCCCUAAAAGAUUUAGAUGCACUAUUGUAAAGUGGUUGUUCCACUGGAUAUCAUAAGGUGAAUGCACCAUUUUGUAAGUCGCUCUGGAUAAGAGCGUCUGCUAAAUGACUUAA